UGGCCUGUCAGGCAGUGACAGAGCCUCUCAAGAGAAAACAGGCAGAAAAACUUGGAGACAGGCCUUCAUAAAGUAUUCCAGCACCUCUUGGAAGACUUAGUGACAAGGAACGUUCUUUCCCUUAGCUAAUCACCUUUAAAUCCUAUUGCAAAGCAUUCAUUACAAGACUGGCAUGAACAGCACAAGGCUGAAUAAAGGAUAGACAGAAUCUGAAUAUCUUGCCUUUUGCAAGGAGGAAACAGGCACCUGGCUCCUAGCUUUCACUUAUCAAACACCUCUGAAACAAUCCAUGUUCAUUUAUUCUUUCCUCAUUAAAGCAUCUGCUGGGAGCUGCCUGCACAUUGUCAACCAUCGAGAGUCAAAAUCCAUGGAAGCCAAUAGCCAGGCUCCUGCCAACAGUACCAAGCUUUGGACCAGACCCACCCUUUCCCCAGAAUGCGCAAAAACAGAAGCCAGGAAAUGAAGUCAGAACAAAGCAGAAAGAUGAGCUGCUCAGAAGCAGCUAUCCUGUGCUUGCUAUGUUCUCCUCAUACCCAUAAAAGCAAGACUAACAAAGGUGAUGUAGUGUGUCUUAUGAAGCCCUACCAAAAAGGGGAAAAAGGAACCCAGAGAACUUUUUAAAGGAAAAAAAACAUACGUCUUUUUGGAUACUGCACACUCAGAGCCUUAAUUAGUGACAGGGCUGCAGCAUACCGACUGCUAACAGUGAGACUUCAACUUGCAACACCAGCUCACACAUGAAUUUAGGCAUUUACACUCUAUACUAAGAGUAACUGCACUAAUCACAAUACCAUAGAUCACUGCAAAACACUCCACUCACUAAGCACCAACUUUUGUGCCCAGAAAUUUAAUCUCUUGAUCAAAGUCAUCACGUAACAGCCCUGUGAUGCCAGACCAAAGAUCCCUCCUAAAUACUUGUUUCUGACAGUGGCCAAGAGAAGAUGCAUAACGAAGAAGGUAAGAACAGUGUACUUAGUGUGCCGCUAUUUCCUUGGAAUAACCUUUGCAUUUCCAGGAAUUUACUUAAUUGUUUACAUAACCCAAAUAAACCUUUGACAUCCGCAACAUCCAAUGGCAAUGAGAGUCUCACUUUAAUCACGUGUGAGAAGGCAGCUCUUUUUCUCCCCUUCAGAACCUGUCAUCUGAUAGUUUCAUUCAAUUCAGCACCGUUAAAUCAGUUAAUGUUUGUGCAGAAUCAGAGAUAUUCUUAUCACUUUUGUUCAUUCUGUAGGAAUUCACUUUGAACAGUCACACAUCCUGGAGUACCUCAUCA